CCCUCGCUGUUCGGCGGCGAGGGCGGCCGCGCCAUGGGCCGCAUGCUGAACUGGUGGGGCGAUACGGUUGUGCUUGGCGGCAUCUUUCCGAUGAUCGCUGCCGACAUUCAUUCCCAUCUGNNNNNGCCGAUCAGGCGUAUUUCCGCAAGACCCGCGAAGUGCGUCUCGGCAAAACGCUGGAACAGGCGGCGGCCAAUCGCGACGAGGCCGUCGAGACGUUUC
rnacentral:misc_RNA from 1 species